GACGAACGCUGGCGGCGUGCUUAACACAUGCAAGUCGAACGUGAAAGGGGCUUCGGCCCUGAGUAAAGUGGCGCACGGGUGAGUAACACGUGGAUAAUCUACCCGGUACUCUGGGAUAACACUUCGAAAGGGGUGCUAAUACCGGAUAAGCCCACGGGCUCUUCGGAGCUUGCGGGAAAAGGUGGGGACCUUCGGGCCUACUGAUAUCGGAUGAGUCCGCGGCCCAUUAGCUAGUUGGUGAGGUAAUGGCUCACCAAGGCAACGAUGGGUAGCGGGUCUGAGAGGACGAUAAGCCACACUGGAACUGAGACACGGUCCAGACUCCUACGGGAGGCAGCAGUGGGGAAUUUUGCGCAAUGGGCGAAAGCCUGACGCAGCAACGCCGCGUGAGUGAUGAAGGCCUUCGGGUCGUAAAGCUCUGUCAGAGGGGAAGAACCGCCGUACGGAUAAUAACCGUGCGGUCUGACGGUACCCUCAAAGGAAGCACCGGCUAACUCCGUGCCAGCCGCCGCAGUAAUAC
rnacentral:rRNA from 1 species